rnacentral:rRNA from 1 species
GACGAACGCUGGCGGCGUGCCUAAUACAUGCAAGUCGAACGCAGUGGGGACGGGUGAGUAACACGUGGCUAACCUCCCAUCAGAGGGGAUACCACUUGGAAACAGGUGCUCAACCCAUACUGAUUGAUGGACCCGCGGUGCAUUAGCUAGUUGGUGAGGUAACGGCUCACCAAGGCCACGAUGCAUAGCCGACCUGAGAGGGUGAUCGGCCAAACUGGGACUGAGACACGGCCCAGACUCCUACGGGAGGCAGAAGUAGGGAAUAUUGUGCAAUGGACGAAAGUCUGAUCGAGCAACGCCGCGUGAGUGAAGAAGGUUUUAGGAUCGUAAAACUCUGUUGUUAGAGAAGCGUUAUCUAACCAGAAAGCAACGGCUAACUACGUGCCAGCAGCCGCGGUAAUUC